AUCGACUACCCGGAAAAAGGAGGGGGGGGGAGGAAUUAUAUUUAGACACUUGAGGCUUCCGCUUUGUAGGGGUCAGUGGGAAAAGCGGAUAAACUCAAUAACAACACACGCAGUGAGGCUCCAAGGAGCCUAUUCUUCCGCCAGUGCCUCGGCGGCGGCGAGGCUUUCAAAGGGCCGGCGUGCACGUGGUGGAAGGUCGCUAGCGAUGGCCCAGAGACACCCACCAGACACCCCACCGGCGGCGCCUGACAGGAUCAAACAGAAGGAAAAAAUGGGCCGCACCCAAUAGCGGCUGCAGCAACCUACAGAAAAGCGUGACCUAAAGCCUCAGAAGGACUCACGCAGCUUCUCGGCGAAACAGGACCAACGUCCCUGCGUACUACGCACGGACGUACCUACGUACCGUGAGACGGCCGUACCUGCGCAGCCGGACCAACGCGCCUGCGCACAUCCGUCUUCCUGCGCCUCGUGGCAGCAUGCCUCGCCCCGCCCACCUACCAGGCGGGGCCCUUGAGCGGAAGCGGAAGUGGGUGCCAAGGGCAGAGGCUUCGGCUUAGGCUGCUGCAUCGGCUGCGGCGGUGGCUGAAAGCAUCGUGAGUGAGUCUCCGGUUGGUUGCUGGCACGUCUCUAGGUAGGGCCAGGCCUGCGUGGACCAGCACCCUUGCCAGUUUUCGCUCUCUGCCUGCG
rnacentral:lncRNA from 1 species